UACGUAGGUGGCAAGCGUUGUCCGGAUUUACUGGACGUAAAGAGCGCGCAGGCGGUCGUUCAAGUCGCGUGUGAAAGCCCCCGGCUCAACUGGGGAGGGUCACGCGAUACUGAUCGACUCGAAGGCAGGAGAGGGAAGUGGAAUUCCCGGUGUAGUGGUGAAAUGCGUAGAUAUCGGGAGGAACACCAGUGGCGAAGGCGGUUACCUGGAGCUUUGCUGACGCUGAUGCGCGAAAGCGUGGGGAGCGAUCCGG
rnacentral:rRNA from 1 species